rnacentral:rRNA from 1 species
AUUGAACGCUGGCGGCAGGCCUAACACAUGCAAGUCGAACGAGUGGCGGACGGGUGAGUAAUGUCUGGGAAACUGCCUGAUGGAGGGGGAUAACUACUGGAAACGGUAGCUAAUACCGCAUACCAUCGGAUGUACCCAGAUGGGAUUAGCUAGUAGGUGGGGUAAAGGCUCACCUAGGCGACGAUCCCUAGCUGGUCUGAGAGGAUGAUCAGCAACACUGGGACUGAGACACGGUCCAGACCCCUACGUGAGGCAGCAGUGGGGAAUAUUGCACAAUGGGCGCAAGCCUGAUGCAGCCAUGCCGCGUGUAUGAAGAAGGCCUUAUGGUUGUAAAGUACUUUCAGCGGGGAGGCGUUACCCGCAGAAGAAGCACCGGCUAACUCCGUGCCAGCAGCCGCGGUAAUUC